rnacentral:piRNA from 1 species
GUCAGACUCAUGGUUAGUGUCCUGGA